rnacentral:rRNA from 1 species
UACGGGGGGGGCAAGCGUUGUUCGGAAUUACUGGGCGUAAAGGGCUCGUAGGCGGCCAACUAAGUCAGACGUGAAAUCCCUCGGCUUAACCGGGGAACUGCGUCUGAUACUGGAUGGCUCGAGUUUGGGAGAGGGAUGCGGAAUUCCAGGUGUAGCGGUGAAAUGCGUAGAUAUCAGGAGGAACACCGGUGGCGAAGGCGGAUCUCUGGGCCAUUACUGACGCUGAGGAGCGAAAGCGUGGGGAGCGAACAGG